rnacentral:rRNA from 1 species
UACAGAGGUCUCAAGCGUUGUUCGGAUUCAUUGGGCGUAAAGGGGUGCGUAGGCGGCGCGGUAAGUCGGGUGUGAAAUCUCGGAGCUUAACUCCGAAACUGCAUUCGAUACUGCCGUGCUUGAGGACUGGAGAGGAGACUGGAAUUUACGGUGUAGCGGUGAAAUGCGUAGAGAUCCGGAAGAACACCGGUGGCGAAGGCGGUCUGCUGGGGUAAU